rnacentral:rRNA from 1 species
ACUACGGGUGGCAGCAGUGAGGAAUAUUGGUCAAUGGACGAGAGUCUGAACCAGCCAAGUAGCGUGAAGGAUGACUGCCCUAUGGGUUGUAAACUUCUUUUAUAAAAGAAUAAAACGAGGCACGUGUGCCUUUUUGCAUGUCCUUUAUGAAUAAGUAUCGGCUAACUCCGUGCCAGCAGCAGCGGUAAUACGGAGGAUCCGAGCGUUAUCCGGAUUUAUUGGGUUUAACGGGAGCGUGGAUGGGUUGUUAAGUCAGUUGUGAAAGUUUGCGGGUCAACCGUAAAAUUGCAAUUGAUACUGGCAGUCUUGAGUACAGUUGAGGUAGGCGGAAUUCGUGGUGUAGCGGUGAAAGGCUUAGAUAUCACGAAGAACCCCGAUUGCGAAGGCAGCUUACUAAACUGUGACUGACAUUGAUGCUCGAAAGUGUGGGUAUCAAACAGGAUUAGAUACCCGGGUAGUC